rnacentral:rRNA from 1 species
UACGGAAGAGGCAAGCGUUAUCCGGAAUUAUUGGGCGUAAAGCGUCCGCAGNGCGGCCUAUUUAAGUCAUGUUGUUAAAGCGUGAAGCUUAACUCCAUUUCAGCAAUGGAAACUGUUAAGGCUUGAGUGAGGAAGGGGCAGAGGAAAUUCCCGGGGUAGCGGUGAAAUGCGUAGAUAUCGGAGAAAAACACCAGUGGCGAAGGCGCUCUGCUGGGCCAUAACUGACGCUCAUGGACAAAAGCCAGGGAAGCGAAGGGGAUUAGAUACCCCUGUAGUCCUGGCCGUAAACGAGGAACACUAGAUGUCGAGAGAAUCGACCCCCUCGGAGUCGUACCCAACGCGUUAAGUGCUCCGCCUGGGGAGUUCGCACGCAAGUGUGAAACUCAAAGGAAUUGACGGGGGCCCGCACAAGCGGUGGAGUAUGUGGUUUAAUUCGAUGCAACGCGAAGAACCUUACCAGGGUUUGACAUCCUGCGAAUCCCUUGGAAACGAGGGAGUCCAUUCGGGAGCGCAGUGACAGGUGGUCCAUGGCUGUCGUCAGCUCGUCUCGUGAGAUGUUGGGUUAAGUGCCUCAACGAGCCCAAGACACGUCGUUAGUUUCCAGCAUUCAGUUGGGCACUCUAGCGAGGCCGCCGGUGAUAAACCGGAGGAAGGUGUGGAUGACGUCAAGUCAUCAUGCCCCUUACAUCCUGGGCUACACACGUACUACAAUGCUACGGACAAAGGGCAGCAAACUCGCGAGAGGUAGCAAAUCCCAUAAAUCGUGGCUCAGUUCAGAUGGUAGGCUGCAAUUCGCUUCCGUGAAGGAGGAAUCGUUAGUAAUCGCAGUUCAGCAUACUGCGGUGAAUUCGUUCCCGGGCCU